rnacentral:rRNA from 1 species
CAAUAUAAGUGAUGGCGACCGGCGCACGGGUGAGUAACACGUAUCCAACCUGCCGAUAACUCGGGGAUAGCCUUUCGAAAGAAAGAUUAAUACCCGAUGGUAUAAUAAAACCGCAUGGUUUAAUUAUUAAAGAAUUUCGGUUAUCGAUGGGGGUGCGUUCCAUUAGGCAGUUGGUGAGGUAACGGCUCACCAAACCUUCGAUGGAUAGGGGUUCUGAGAGGAAGGUCCCCCACAUUGGAACUGAGACACGGUCCAA